GAUCCUGGCUCAGGAUGAACGCUAGCUACAGGCUUAACACAUGCAAGUCGAGGGGCAGCAUGGUUUCAGCUUGCUGAGACUGAUGGCGACCGGCGCACGGGUGAGUAACGCGUAUCCAACCUGCCCUUUACUCCGGGAUAGUCUCCUGAAAGGGAGUUUAAUACCGGAUGUGUUUGUCUUUCCGCAUGGGAGCGACAAAUAAAGAUUAAUUGGUAAAGGAUGGGGAUGCGUCCCAUUAG
rnacentral:rRNA from 1 species